rnacentral:rRNA from 1 species
GCGCGCGCAGGCGGUUUCUUAAGUCUGAUGUGAAAGCCCCCGGCUCAACCGGGGAGGGUCAUUGGAAACUGGGGAACUUGAGUGCAGAAGAGGAGAGUGGAAUUCCACGUGUAGCGGUGAAAUGCGUAGAGAUGUGGAGGAACACCAGUGGCGAAGGCGACUCUCUGGUCUGUAACUGACGCUGAGGCGCGAAAGCGUGGGGAGCGAACAGGAUUAGAUACCCUGGUAGUCCACGCCGUAAACGAUGAGUGCUAAGUGUUAGAGGGUUUCCGCCCUUUAGUGCUGCAGCAAACGCAUUAAGCACUCCGCCUGGGGAGUACGGUCGCAAGACUGAAACUCAAAGGAAUUGACGGGGGCCCGCACAAGCGGUGGAGCAUGUGGUUUAAUUCGAAGCAACGCGAAGAACCUUACCAGGUCUUGACAUCCUCUGACAACCCUAGAGAUAGGGCUUCCCCUUCGGGGGCAGAGUGACAGGUGGUGCAUGGUUGUCGUCAGCUCGUGUCGUGAGAUGUUGGGUUAAGUCCCGCAACGAGCGCAACCCUUGAUCUUAGUUGCCAGCAUUCAGUUGGGCACUCUAAGGUGACUGCCGGUGACAAACCGGAGGAAGGUGGGGAUGACGUCAAAUCAUCAUGCCCCUUAUGACCUGGGCUACACACGUGC